rnacentral:pre_miRNA from 1 species
GAGGGCCUGAUUCAAAACCCAUUGAAGCCAAUGGAAAUACUGCCAUUGACUUCAGUGGGCUUUGGAUCAGUCCCUAAUUUC